GAGUUUGAUUCUGGCUCAGAACGAACGCUGGCAGCGUGGAUUAGGCAUGCAAGUCGAACGGGAAGCCAUGGAUUCAAUCUUUCGGGAGAGAAUCUGUGGUGGAGAGUGGCGAAAGGGUGAGUAACGCGUGGGUAACCUACCUCAAAGCGGGGGAUAACUUUCCGAAAGGGGAGCUAAUACCGCAUGUGAUGGUUUCUCGCAUGGGAGACUAUUAAAAGUGGGGAUCCUUCGGGACCUGCUGUUUUGAGAGGGACCCGCGUACCAUCAGCUUGUUGGUAGGGUAACGGCCUACCAAGGCUUACGGUUAGCUGGUCUGAGAGGAUGGUCAGCCACACUGGGACUGAGACACUGCCCAGACUCCUACGGGAGGCUGCAGUCGAGGAUCAUUUGCAAUGCGCGAAAGCGUGACAACGCGACGCUGCGUGGAGGAUGACGGCCUUCGGGUUGUAAACUCCUGUCAUUUGGGAAAAAUAGCCCUAUCCUUAAUAGGGACGGGGUUUGAUGGUACCAAAAGAGGAAGCCACGGCUAACUCUGUGCCAGCAGCCGCGGUAAUACAGAGGUGGCGAGCGUUGUUCGGAUUUACUGGGCGUAAAGCGUGCGUAGGUUGUCCUGUAUGUCGGAUGUGAAAUCCCACCGCCCAACGGUGGACGUGCAUUCGAAACUGCAGGGCUUGAGUGCAGGAGGGGAGAGCGGAAUUCUUGGUGUAGCGGUGAAAUGCAUUGAUAUCAAGAGGAACACCGGUGGCGAAGGCGGCUCUCUGGAAUGCAACUGACACUGAGGCACGAAAGCUGGGGGAGCAAACAGGAUUAGAUACCCUGGUAGUCCCAGCUGUAAGCGGUGUGAACUUGGUGUGGGCGGUAUUGACCCCGCCCGUGCCGGAGCUAACGCGUUAAGUUCACCGCCUGGGGAGUACGGCCGCAAGGCUAAAACUCAAAGAAAUUGACGGGGGCCCGCACAAGCGGAGGAGCAUGUGGCUUAAUUCGAUGCAACGCGAAGAACCUUACCAGGGCUUGACAUGUAGCUGCACGCCUCCUGAAAGGGAGGAAGCCUUCGAGGGUGCUACACAGGUGCUGCAUGGCUGUCGUCAGUUCGUGCCGUGAGGUGUUGGGUUAAGUCCCGCAACGAACGCAACCCUUGUGCCUAGUUGCCACCGCAGGUAUGAGCCUGCGAGCACUCUAGGCAGACUGCCCGUACAAGCGGGAGGAAGGUGGGGACGACGUCAAGUCAGUAUGGCCCUUACGCCCUGGGCUGCACACGUGCUACAAUGGUUGGUACAGAAAGAUGCAAUACCGCGAGGUGGAGCAAAUCUCCAAAACCAACCUCAGUUCGGAUUGGAGUCUGAAACUCGACUCCAUGAAGUCGGAUUCGCUAGUAAUGGCGCAUCAGCUACGGCGCCGUGAAUACGUUCCCGGGCCUUGUACACACCGCCCGUCACAUCAUGAAAGCCGUCUGCACCCGAAGUUGCCGAGCUAACUCUCACGAGAGGCAGGUACCGAAGGUGUGGGUGGUGAUUGGGAUGAAGUCGUAACAAGGUA
rnacentral:rRNA from 1 species